UGUCAACUACAAAAGACUUUCAAUUAAAGGGUAUAAUUACAUAAAAAUGGCGUAAACGAUUCAAUUGUUACCUUUUGUUAAAAAGACAAUGUCUGAGUCAAACUGUAGAAAUUAAUUAUAGCCGGAUUUGUUUGAGAUCGUAAUGUUGCGUAAUCAUAGGGAUUAACAAAUAAACCAGGUCCUGGCCAUAGUCAAAAUAUCGGACCAUUGACAACAUUCGGCAUAACAUAUACUCCGUAUGAAACAUGAGAGUUUGACGAACAGAAAUUUAAUAAAAAGGACAGAAAAUUGUGUACGAAAAAACAAAUAGUUAUAAACAGGUAGCCAUGUCUUUCCUUAAGAAUAUUUUUUCGCCAAAAUCAGAGAUAAGUGCCUCCUCACCAACAGCAUCAAAGAGUUCGAGGCUUAAUGGAAUUCUUCGCAAAGAAAGUACUUCGGAUAGCAGUAGUUUAGACAAUUGCGAUUCAAGAUGUUCUAGCUGUACAGAAACUCAAAGUGUUUACAUAUCAAAUUGUGAAAAUUCUAGUGACGAUUCAGACUCAUGUAUUGACUGUGGCAGUAAACUUGGAAAAAAUAGCUCUAAAAUUAACCCUAAGAGAGUAUCAUUCAAUGCACAAGUGAAAAGGCGGGUAUUUCUGUCAGACGCAAGUGAAAGAGCACGUGAUCGAACAAACCAAACAGUUGUUAGACAUUCAAUCCACGUCAAUCCACACGAGCAUUCAAUCCACGUCAAACCAAAGUAUCACAGACAUUCACUGAAAACAUCAGGAUAUGUUAUGUAUGUUCCGGGUCAUCCGGAAUCUUCGUACCAAGUAACAAACAAAGGAACAGUAUAUUUCAGAAUUAUAUGACCGUACUUUUAGAGUUUGAGCAUGGAAAACAACAUGUAAAUGUAUCUGCAACAAAGUGCAAUAAAACGGAAACGUGUCAGAAGUGAUCAGUUGUUGAGUUAAUAAAAUAUUUUGUUAAA